AAUCUUUUCCCUGUCUGCAGUUGGUUCAGCAGUGGCCACAAAUGCAGAAAUCUGUCUUGAAGAUUACUGAAGAGAGGAUGACAUGGUGGUAUCAACUUAGAUAAAGCAAAGGAAAGGCUUCAAGAAGAGGACAAAUUUGACAAAGAAGAGUAUAGAAAGAAAAUAAAGGCAAAGCAUCGGGAGAAAAGAUUGAAAGAAAGGGAAGCCAGGAGAGAAGCCAGUAAGAAACAUGCAAAGGCCAAAGAUGAAGAAGAGGCCUUUCUGGAUUGGAGUAAUGAUGAUGAUGAUGAUGGGUUUGAUCCGAGCACACUUCCAGAUCCAGAUAAGCACAGAAGCUCUGAAGAAUCAGAUAGUGAAGAUGUGGAAAAUAAAAUUAGUGAUACCAAGAAGAAGCAGGGAAUGAGGAAAAGGAACAACAGUGAAUUGGAAGACACAGGACUCACAAGUCGUAACAAAAAGAAGGCCAAGUGGGAAAUCAUAGAGCCGUUGGAUACGGGCCUGUCUUUAGCAGAGGAUGAAGAGCUGGUGCUACAUCUGCUCAAAAGUCAAAGCUAAAUACUUCCUGCUGCUGUCAUCUCCUUAAAACCUCUGGUCACGGUUAUGUGGACAAAAAGUUGAAAAAGCAGUAGGCUUUGGGGAACUUAGAUAACGUGAGUUCCAAAAUAUCUGUAAUCUUCUUUCACAGGAUGUGCUUGUGCCAUCCCAGUGCAAACUCAGAGUGAGGGUGGAUUAUAAAAUUUCUUGUUCCCAUUUUUCAGCUGUGCUGUUUUAAAUUUUUAUCCUUGGGUUCCUACAUCUUGACACUAGAAGUGCUUUCUUUGUUUUAAUAGUAAGUUCUAGAGACCAUGUUUCAUUGCUAGGAAUUUCUUGCUUAUGUUACAUAAGUAUAUGUGUGCUAAUAAGUGAAAUUGCUCACAAUUUUGUUUAUUUAAUGUCUUUAAAGAGACAAUAUGAUGGACCAGCCCUAAGAAAGAAUGAAUAUUUUUGAAUUGAGAUGAUUAAUAAUAAACAUAUUUCCUAUAAAAUUA